AAUCAACGCUGGCGGCGUGCCUCAGACAUACAAGUCGAACGAUUAAAGCUCUCUUCGGAGAGUGUAUAGAGUGGCGCACGGGUGAGUAACACGUAAGUAAUCUACCUUUGAGUGGGAAUAACGUCCGGAAACGGACGCUAAUACCGCAUAAUGCAGCGGCAUCGCAAAGAUGACAGUUGUUAAAGAUUUAUCGGCCUUGAAGAGGAGCUUGCGGCAGGAUUAGCUAGUUGGUAAGGUAAUGGCUUACCAAGGCUACGAUCUGUAACCGGUCUAAGAGGACGGUCGUCACACUGACACUGAACAACGGGUCAGACUCCUACGGGAGGCAGCAGUCGGGAAUUUGGGCAAUGGGCGAAAGCCUGACCCAGCAACGCCG
rnacentral:rRNA from 1 species